rnacentral:rRNA from 1 species
GACGAACGCUGGCGGCGGGCUUAACACAUGCAAGUCGAGCGGAAAGGCCCUGCUUUUGUGUGGUGCUCGCGUGGCGAACGGGUGAGUAACACGUGAGUAACCUGCCCUUGGCUGUGGGAUAACUUCAGGCAACUGGUGCUAAUACCGGAUAGGAGCUCCUGCUGCAGGGGGGGGGUUGGAAAGCUUCGGCGGUUGGGGAUGGACGGGCGGCUUAUCAGCUUGUGGGUGGGGUAGUGGCUUACCAAGGCUUCGGCGGGUAGCCGGCAUGAGAGGGUGACCAGCCACCUUGGUCCUGCGAUACGGACCAGAGGGCAACGGGAGGCAGUAGUGGAGAACAUUGCACAGUCGGGCGACGCGUGAUGCAGAGAUCCUGGGAGCGGGAAGCCGGCUUACGUGUUGUAAACCGCAUUAGCCUGAGACGAAGCGUGAGUGACGUUAACGGGAAAAGAAGCACCGGCUAACUACGUG